rnacentral:rRNA from 1 species
UACGAAGGGGGCAAGCGUUGUUCGGAAUUACUGGGAGUAAAGGGCGCGUAGGCGGCCGAUCAAGUCAGGCGUGAAAUUCCCGGGCUCAACCUGGGGGCUGCGCUUGAUACUGAUUGGCUUGAAUGCGGGAGAGGAUAGUGGAAUUCCCAGUGUAGAGGUGAAAUUCGUAGAUAUUGGGAAGAACACCGGUGGCGAAGGCGGCUAUCUGGCCCGUAAUUGACGCUGAGGCGCGAAAGCGUGGGGAGCAAACAGG